UACGUAGGCAGCGAGCGUUGUCCGGAGUUACUGGGCGUAAAGGGUGUGUAGGCGGUUGUUUUAAGUUUGGUGUGAAAUCUCCCGGCUCAACUGGGAGGCGCGCCGAAUACUGAAUGACUAGAGUGCGGGAGAGGAAAGUGGAAUUCCUGGUGUAGCGGUGAAAUGCGUAGAUAUCAGGAGGAACACCGGUGGUGUAGACGGCUUUCUGGACCGUAACUGACGCUGAGACACGAAAGCGUGGGUAGCAAACAGG
rnacentral:rRNA from 1 species